rnacentral:rRNA from 1 species
AACGAACGCUGGCGGCAUGCCUAACACAUGCAAGUCGAACGAGACCUUCGGGUCUAGUGGCGCCCGGGUGCGUCACGCGUGGGAACCUGCACUUAGGUUCGGAAUAACUCCCCGAAAGGGGUGCUAAUACCGGAUAAUGUCUUAGGACCAAAGAUUUAUCGCCUUUGGAUGGGCCCGCGUUGGAUUAGCUAGUUGGUAGGGUAAAAGCCUACCAAGGCGACGAUCCAUAGCUGGGCUGUGAGGAUGAUCAGCCACACUGGGACUGAGACACGGCCCAGACUCCUACGGGAUGCAGCAGUGGGUGAUAUUGGACAACGGGCUGAAGCCUGAUCCAGUAAUGCCGCGUGAGUGAUGAAGUCCUGAGGGUUGUAAAGCGCUAUUACCCGGGAUGAUAUUGACAGUACCGGGAGAAUAAGCUCCGGCUAACUCCGUG